CGGUGAAGCCCAGCUUGCUGGGUGGAUCAGUGGCGAACGGGUGAGUAACACGUGAGCAACCUGCCCUCCACUUCGGGAUAAGCCCUGGAAACGGGGUCUAAUACCGGAUAUGAGCUCCUGCCGCAUGGUGGGGGUUGGAAAGUUUUUCGGUGGGGGAUGGGCUCGCGGCCUAUCAGCUUGUUGGUGGGGUGAUGGCCUACCAAGGCGUCGACGGGUAGCCGGCCUGAGAGGGCGACCGGCCACACUGGGACUGAGACACGGCCCAGACUCCUACGGGAGGCAGCAGUGGGGAAUAUUGCACAAUGGGCGCAAGCCUGAUGCAGCGACGCCGCGUGAGGGAUGACGGCCUUCGGGUUGUAAACCUCUUUCAGCAGGGAAGAAGCGCAAGUGACGGUACCUGCAGAAGAAGCGCCGGCUAACUACGUGCCAGCAGCCGCGGUAAUACGUAGGGCGCAAGCGUUGUCCGGAAUUAUUGGGCGUAAAGAGCUCGUAGGCGGUCUGUCGCGUCUGGUGUGAAAACCCGAGGCUCAACCUCGGGCUUGCAUCGGGUACGGGCGGACUAGAGUGCUGUAGGGGAGACUGGAAUUCCUGGUGUAGCGGUGGAAUGCGCAGAUAUCAGGAGGAACACCGAUGGCGAAGGCAGGUCUCUGGGCAGUUACUGACGCUGAGGAGCGAAAGCAUGGGGAGCGAACAGGAUUAGAUACCCUGGUAGUCCAUGCCGUAAACGUUGGGCACUAGGUGUGGGGACCAUUCCACGGUUUCCGUGCCGCAGCUAACGCAUUAAGUGCCCCGCCUGGGGAGUAC
rnacentral:rRNA from 1 species